CCGGUUGUAGCGUAAUUGGCUAACGCACCUGCCUUCCAAGCAGGGGACUGCGGGUUCAAGUCCCGUCAGCCGGUCCA
rnacentral:tRNA from 1 species